UAUUCACCUUACCCAAACACCGAUCAUUCUUGUGACGGUGCGUCAGAAUAAAAUUCCCGAAUGGAAACUGGAGCUAGAGUUUAGAGUUCUGGUUGUGAAACACGGAACAAAGAAAUCUGAGAAUGAAAAUCCAGAGUGGUGAGGAAUCAAGUGGUAGAAGACUUCACUGACCUCUUAAUAUAACCUCUAUGACUGCAACAGGGUUCCGUGGUAAUGGCCUGGUCACGGCACCUUGACAUGUGGCAGCAACUGAGGGAUCAGGGGUCACAAAUGCAGUCCUACUGGUGAGGAAAGGGUUCCAGCAGUGACUGACAGGAGAGGAGGGCUCAUUGGUUCCCAUAUAGAGACUGACUAACUAGCCGUUGGGGACUUCCACUUCCAGCCACAGGACACCCGUUGGACCCAGAGAUGGACCGGCCACAGCCUGAACAACAGUGCUCUUUUCUGGGUUACAAACCUGUGGUGUAAGGCAUGAUGCUCCAGUCGUGCCCUCUCUCAUUAAAGAUCCUCAUUGAGGAUAUAGAAUGUCAAACGCAACAGAAGAGAGGGUGUCAUUUCCAUCUUUCUAUCUAACUGUUCGUUUUAAGUAUUCAUGAGAUGAGUCCUUUUCUUCCUAGGAACUAGGCAUGUGCGACGUGUGCUAUUUAUAUGGUAAUAAUUUGAGAGGGGUGAAGUUACGGGUCCAUCAAUGGGUUGAACAUGUGUGAGACAGGUGCUGCGAUGGAGAUCUGGCCAAAACAAUCACGUUGCUACAGAAAGGACUGCCUAAUUGAGCUCUGUUUGUGUGGCAUGUCGCUGAACAAUGGCUCAUGGCUGGCAGAUGCAACAGGGGGCCAGUAAUAUCGACAAAGCCCACAGAACAAUACCAGCAGGAGGACAAUGGAGGGUUACUGCAGAGAGCAGAGAUGACAGGAGGAGAGGAGACGAUACAGGAAUUAAAUGGGAAAUGGCAUUUCUAGUUUUUCACGCCUGCCUUAUCGCCAGUGAUGGCCUGAAAACGGAAAUCGACUUAACAAAAUUAAAAGCAAGACUUUUGUCUGGACACCUCCCUGCAGCAAUUUCUGAGAUACUGGUAUUCUGAGUUAAUGUACCUGUCUGGCUCAAGGGGGAAAAGUCAUUCCCUAGUUCUAUACUGUACUCACAGACUAUGGGGGAAACAUGUUCUGUUUCAUUUGACGAGAAAAGAAUGUCCGCAACUCUGGUAUGCUCCCAUGGUGAUUGUAACAGAUGCCCAAAAAAGACAACGUAUUGAUCCGAGUUGGAUCUUCGUCACAUCAUACGCCACUGUGAAACACGCCGACUUCAAUAACCUCGAGAGGCAUGUUCAUCCGGUCAAUUGAAUACAUAUAGUACAUGAACGUACCAAUACAUAUUACACAGUAGACAUAUGGAAAAAUGUGAAUACAUGUUGGUUUGUGUAUCCAUGUCAAGGAAUAUAGAUUACUUUGCAAUAGAUUAAAAACAGAUGAGACCAAUGUGUUCAAUCAUUUUGUAUACAAU